UAAAACAAUGGGCAAAUUUAGAGAAAUCUAGAGGCGCAAAGCUAAAGGGGCUAAGGGAUUUAAAACUAUGCCAGCCAGUUGCUAAA
rnacentral:ncRNA from 1 species